GCCUUCCAAGUGCUGGGAUUAAAGGCAUGCGCCACCACUGCCUAGCUAAUCAUUUCUUGUUAUCUAGAGCUGUGUAUUUAUGGGUUUUGCCUAGCAGAUAUGUCUAGAGUGGAAACACUUCUAUCAGGUUCUGGUAGAACAUAUCUAUGGCUGCAGAUACUCAGAUCACUGAAAGAGGGAGACCACAUGAUCUCAUGACUUCAAGACGAGCACGGUCAACAUAGCCAGGGAGAUUUGUCUCCAUAACACCAACAGAACAUAUCUAUUCACAAAUUAUUCAUUCUUCUCCAUUUCAGAAAUGCUGUUUAAAAAAAAAAACUACUCAACUUUUGGAAUGGUUGCCAUCUUGCAAGUCUUAGUAUUUUUUUACAAUGUUUAUUAAUGUUUUCUCUUUCUAAUGUAUAUUCUUUUUAUUUCUCAUGUAUACUCUUUCUAGGAAAAGAUCAUUCAUUUUGGCCUGAUAUAUUAUGUAAAUAUAUGAAUAUUUUGUAUUUGUAAUAUAUGUGGUAAUGAAAUAAUUUGCCUUCGGUAUAGGUCAUUUCCUUAUCUAUAAAGAAUGCUUUACAGGCCGGGCGUGGUAGCGCAUGCCUUUGUUUUGUUUUGUUUUGUUUUGUUUUGUUUUGUUUUGUUUUUCCGAGACAGGGUUUCUUUAUGUAGCGCUGGCUGUCCUAGAACUCACUCUGUAGACCAGGCUGGCCUCCAACUCAGAAAUCUGCCUGCCUCUACCUCUGCCUCUGCCUCCUGAGUGCUGGGAUUAAAGCACUGGCUUCAAUCUUUUUUUAAUAACAAAAUUUAAACAAUAUCACAUUGCUAUACAAGUUUCUCACAAUCAUUCUAAACUAUUGCUUUCUGAAACCACACUUUUACUCAUAUACAAGAACAAUACAUAGAUUGUUUAAUAAAUUAACAGUAUUGUCUCUGAGGUAGACAAAUGUGAACGAACUUUCCCCCUACAUGCUAGUCAAUUCUUAAUCAUGGUAACUUUUGUUUCUUUUAUAUUUAAUUCUAAACUGUGUUUACAUCUUAAAAUUAAUUUAUCUUAAAUUUUUACUUUUUAUAUCAUGGUAAAGUCCUUUUAGUCCCACAAAUGUUUUUUAUCUUUUUUUUUUUUUGAAAGUUUUUACUUAUGAUCUAUACAUCAAAAGGUUACACACUCUAAUGGCUUUCAAAAGUCAACACAAAACUCUUUUGACUUAGAAAUUAAGCCAAAUCGCUUCUCGGCCUCAAGAAAUUAAGCCAAGAUACCCGUAAAAAUCUUUUAAAGUCAUCAGUAUGGUUUGUUUCCUAUGAGAUUUAAUUCAUCCUUUUUCCUGUAUAGCUAAAAAUUAGAGGUUAUAUUUUUUCCUUAAACUUGAAAAAACUGCUCCAAGAAUUUCUCUU
rnacentral:lncRNA from 1 species